CCAUAUUCCACCCAAAGCCAAGGCACUGAUUUCCCAUGUGAAACAGAUGCGGGAAACACUUACCACUGGAAAUGCGGAGCUGCUGCCAAGAUAAAUCUGCUCUGACCAACCCUAGGAAAGAAACCGUAUCUUCCACUAGUCCUUCCUCUCACUUCCCCACAGUUAACUUCCAGACUCACUUUUCCCUCAGUCUUUUUUGUAUUCACAGCUCAUGACUCCUAUUACCAUGGUAUCACCCCCUCCCCCACUCCCAUCAUCGCCUGAGGCAGGUGGGAGAGCCCUGCAGCUCACAUGGACAGCACAGUAGGGCCAACCCCAUUGACAGAUGGAGCCAGCCCUGGAAUUGUGAGGAUGAGAGAGCUGUCCUCGUUACUCAUCUGUCCUGUGGCAGCAUGGGUGGGGAGAGACCCCCCUUCUCCUGCACCCAUCAUCACCUGAGGCAGGCAGGAGAGCUGGCCCUGAGGUCAUAAGAGCUGGAGAACUGUUCCUGGCCCUCAUCAACUGCAGCACUCGGCAUGUGAAGGGACGGGUCCUGUAGACCCAAAGCUGCAGGAUUUCCAGGACACAGAGCAACAGCAGGAUAACCAAGAGGAGUUCCAGUGAGGGCCCAGCAUCGGCAGUGGAGCAGAAACCAGAGGCCUGGAACAGACUCUUUGCAAUGAACACUUGCAAGUAAAGAUAUAUGGAUAAAA